ACCAUGUGGUGAUCGAUGCAGUUUUGACUAGAUCUACGAUAAGUGCGCACUUGAUCAAGAAUUUAAUAUCAUUUUUGCGACAUUUUGUCGAACAAAUAUUUGGCCAAAUGAUCUCUCAUAUGUUAAUUCUUGUGGUAGUUCCAUUUCUGUAGAUUCAGUUAAAAGUUCAUCGAGUGUAGACAGGAGGGUUUUGAAGAAGGUCAGUUAAUUCAUAGGAACUGGACCCUCUUUUCGCGGUUAUGAUACACGGAACAUACUGAGGACCUAAUUUGGAAUUGAAGGCCUUGCUUGCAGCUGACUGUCCAAACGUCCGUUUGAAUACUCUCUGUCCGACUUCGAAUGAUGGUAUGGUUGAAACAUUGGCAGCAAGCAUCGCUACCCUACAAUCGUCGCGAGUGUUACGAAAAAGGACAUCAAAUUUCCGUUUCUCAUCCCAAGGACAUGAUAAGCUGCGAAAGAUCCGGACCAUGUCUAAGUAGUAGUCCUGGAAUUUUUCUCUGACACCCUGCUUCCGGUUAUUCGCACGCUGUUCGUAGAAGUAAUCGAUAUCCACCGUACUCUUUCUAGUUGACUACGCGACGAGACUACAUUAAGUCCGCGAAUACGCAACUCGUAUUCCAACUCAUCCACCAUUAGAUGAGAAGGAUCCAUCGACUGAUACUGCGCUAACAACAAAGGCAUCUCCAUUGCGAUGAUUUAGGUUUGAUCUCGGAAGGUAAAAUUUAUCAAAAUAAAAACACGACAAAAUUAUAAAUAUGGCACACUUAUCUAAACUGUAAGAAAGUAAUAGUUAUUUUAUGUCAGAAGUGGUUAUUCUAUUUCAAUAAAUUUUGUGUAUUG